rnacentral:rRNA from 1 species
UGACGAGUGGCGAACGGGUGAGUAAUAUAUCGGAACGUGCCCUAGAGUGGGGGAUAACUAGUCGAAAGAUUAGCUAAUACCGCAUACGAUCUACGGAUGAAAGUGGGGGAUCGCAAGACCUCAUGCUCAUGGAGCGGCCGAUAUCUGAUUAGCUAGUUGGUAGGGUAAAAGCCUACCAAGGCAUCGAUCAGUAGCUGGUCUGAGAGGACGACCAGCCACACUGGGACUGAGACACGGCCCAGACUCCUACGGGAGGCAGCAGUGGGGAAUUUUGGACAAUGGGCGCAAGCCUGAUCCAGCAAUGUCGCGUGAGUGAAGAAGGCCUUCGGGUUGUAAAGCUCUUUUGUCAGGGAAGAAACGGACUGGGUUAAUACCUUGGUCUAAUGACGGUACCUGAAGAAUAAGCACCGGCUAACUACGUGCCAGCAGCCGCGGUAAUACGUAGGGUGCAAGCGUUAAUCGGAAUUACUGGGCGUAAAGCGUGCGCAGGCGGUUAUGU